rnacentral:lncRNA from 1 species
GUCCUGGAACUGGUUAUGGACAAUUUUUGAGCUGCCAUGUAGGUGCUUGGAAUUGAACCCAGGUCUUCUGGAAGAGCAACCAGUGCCGCUAACCACUGAGCCAUCUCUAGAGCCCCUGCUUGGUUUUUUGUUUUGUUUUUUGUUUUUUUCUUGAUCACUGAAAGUUUCUCCGCUCCAGUGACCAGCAUCAAGUAUCACAGCAAAGCAAAGGUUUCAUCUAGUGGCCUGGUAUCUUGUGAACCACAGCUGAUUCUCCAAACCUCACUUAAUCAGAACCACCAGGAAGGAUCUUGGCAAGACCGGAGAGCCUGCUGAUACUCAGGGUCUCCAGUGAACCCAGACUUCAAAGCCUCUGAGGGUGCCUCGGGUCUACCAAGUCAACAUGUUUUCCUUCCCAAGUAGCUUUGGGGUCUCAAGUUUUUCCCAAUGAUUCAAGGAGGCAGAAGGUGGAGCACACUGUGUUCAUCAAGGAACAAACUCUAGUUCUGGAAGAAUAUUUUAAAAGUGCAAGUACCCAACCCAUGAACAAUGCAUGGCACCGGCUCAAGGAUUUGGAUUGAUGGAUCAAGAUCAAGAUCUGGUUCCAGAACUGAUGUGCUAGAGAGUACCAGAAGAAGGCUCAAAAACUACCCGGGAAGCCUGGAUGUGGGACUCAAGAUAGGCCUACAGACCCCAAAGGCUGGGAACUUCCUGUUUCCUCUGCCAGUGCAGUUUCUUUGUGCCAGAAACAUGUGGAAGUCUGCUGUCCUCAACUCAGUCCACCGAGUACCUCCCCAGACCAGGAAUCCAU